ensembl:lncRNA
GAGGUGGAGGGAGAGGUGGAAGGAGAUUUGGGGAGAGCGGUGGAGGAAGAUGUGGAGGUGGAGGGAGAGAUGGAGGGAGAAGAGGAGAGAGAGGUGGAAGGAGAUUUGGGGAGAGCGGUGGAGGAAGAUGUGGAGGUGGAGGGAGAGAUGGAGGAAAAAGAGGAGAGAGAGGUGGAGGGAGAGGUGGAAGGAGAUUUGGGGAGAGCGGUGGAGGAAGAGGUGGGGGUGGAGGGAGAGAUGGAGGAAGAAGAGGAGAGAGAGGUGGAGGGAGAUUUGGAGGUGGAGGGAGAGAUGGAGGAAGAAGAGGAGAGAGAGGUGGAGGGAGAAUUGGAGGUGGAGGGAGAGAUGGAGGAAGAAGAGGAGAGAGAGGUGGAGGGAGAUUUGGAGGUGGAGGGAGAGAUGGAGGAAGAAGAGGAGAGAGAGGUGGAGGGAGAAUUGGAGGUGGAGGGAGAGAUGGAGGAAGAAGAGGAGAGAGAGGUGGAUGGAGAGGUGGAAGGAGAAGAGCAGGAAGCGAUAGAAACAAUGGUGGAGGGAGAGAUGGAGGGAGACAUGGAGGGAGAGAUAGAGGAGGAAG